rnacentral:rRNA from 1 species
ACUCCUACGGGAGGCAGCAGUGGGGAAUUUUGGACAAUGGGGGCAACCCUGAUCCAGCCAUGCCGCGUGAGUGAAGAAGGCCUUCGGGUUGUAAAGCUCUUUCGGCCGGGAAGAAAUCGUGUUCUCUAACAUAGGACAUGGAUGACGGUACCGGACUAAGAAGCACCGGCUAACUACGUGCCAGCAGCCGCGGUAAUACGUAGGGUGCGAGCGUUAAUCGGAAUUACUGGGCGUAAAGCGUGCGCAGGCGGUUUUAUAAGACAGAUGUGAAAUCCCCGGGCUUAACCUGGGAACUGCGUUUGUGACUGCAAGGCUAGAGUACGGCAGAGGGGGGUGGAAUUCCUGGUGUAGCAGUGAAAUGCGUAGAUAUCAGGAGGAACACCGAUGGCGAAGGCAGCCCCCUGGGCCUGUACUGACGCUCAUGCACGAAAGCGUGGGGAGCAAACAGGAUUAGAUACCCUGGUAGUC